rnacentral:rRNA from 1 species
CCUACGGGAGGCAGCAGUGAGGAAUAUUGGUCAAUGGGGGAAACCCUGAUGCAGCGACGCCGCGUGGGUGAAGAAGCGCCUCGGCGCGUAAAGCCCUGUCAGCAGGGAAGAAAAUGACGGUACCUGAAGAAGAAGCCCCGGCUAACUACGUGCCAGCAGCCGCGGUAAUACGUAGGGGGCAAGCGUUAUCCGGAUUUACUGGGUGUAAAGGGGGCGCAGACGGCGAUGCAAGCCAGGAGUGAAAGCCCGGGGCCCAACCCCGGGACUGCUCUUGGAACUGCGUGGCUAGAGUGCAGGAGGGGCAGGCGGAAUUCCUGGUGUAGCGGUGAAAUGCGUAGAUAUCAGGAGGAACACCGGUGGCGAAGGCGGCCUGCUGGACUGCAACUGACGUUGAGGCCCGAAAGCGUGGGGAGCAAACAGGAUUAGAUACCCUGGUAGUC